UGAGGAAUAUUGGUCAAUGGGCGAGAGCCUGAACCAGCCAAGUAGCGUGCAGGAUGACGGCCCUAUGGGUUGUAAACUGCUUUUAUGUGGGGAUAAAGUGGGGAACGUGUUCCCUUUUGCAGGUACCAUAUGAAUAAGGACCGGCUAAUUCCGUGCCAGCAGCCGCGGUAAUACGGAAGGUUCGGGCGUUAUCCGGAUUUAUUGGGUUUAAAGGGAGCGUAGGCCGUUUGGUAAGCGUGUUGUGAAAUGUAGGAGCUCAACUUCUAGAUUGCAGCGCGAACUGUCAGACUUGAGUGCGCACAACGUAGGCGGAAUUCAUGGUGUAGCGGUGAAAUGCUUAGAUAUCAUGAAGAACUCCGAUUGCGAAGGCAGCUUACGGGAGCGCAACUGACGCUGAAGCUCGAAGGUGCGGGUAUCGAACAGG
rnacentral:rRNA from 1 species